ensembl:lncRNA
GUUUUUGGGAACUAUCGGUUGGGGUGUUUGUUGUGUGGGACAUUUAUCAGUGUUGCGCGCUAUGCGUUUGGAGUGCGUGAGUUACGUCAUCCUCAGUUUGCGGAUAGACGCUGGCGAGGAAAGACGCACUUAUUUUCUCUCGCUCUUCCUACUUAAUGUUGUGUGUGAUGUGGGAAGAGGUUGGCGCAACGAAAAAUAUUGAUCAAAUUGUCCCAUAUGUUUCCAGGGCGGGUCAAUAAAUUCAGCUGUUCUGAAGCCAUCCUGUUGUCUACUGUGUGAAAUUCGUUAUGUGCAGAAAGGGAUCUGCUACAUAAAACUGGUGCCGUGACCUUCUUGGAUACAACUGAUCAGCCAGAGCCGAUCGCCGGGUAUUGUUCGGUUUGGUGGAACUGUUGCUGCGCCCUCCCUGGAUUCAGAAAGCCGGCCUGAGUCGUCUGCCAGGUGUCAAGCCGUGGAUCGAGUCCUGCCUUCCAGUGUCAGCUAAUGAACUUUCCUUGUUGCAUACAGCUCUCUUACAUUCUUAACAUUGACUUUCGAACAUUGUAUUACUAAGACACUGAGUCAAUUUAUUUUGUUAUGCGUUAGUGACCAAUUUGGACAGUAAGAUGUACAAUAUGUCUACACCAGUCUUGGGGAGGGGUAGAAGUUUCAUCAGCUCAGAUGGUGUUGUGAGACGUAGAGAAAAUGAUCAGAUUCGAGAUAUUAAUUUAGGCUCUUCACAGAUGGAAGGAAAAGUCAAUGCUGGUGCUUCAUCUUUUACAACUGCCCCAAUAUGUGAUGAUUCUCGUUUGCAGAUAACAGAGCUACUUGAAGAGCUUGGUAGCCAAAUUGGCGAUAGUAUUUUGGACCGGCUCUUAGCUGAUCGUAGUCCUUCUGCUCUGGGGCAUCGGACUGCCCCCGAACCAGUUAAAAGCGAUCUAGCUAGCACUACACUUGACUUAUCCAGGUUGAAUCUGAUUGUACGUUCUGACAAUAGAAGCCCUCCUAUUUUCCGUGGUGAUGGUACGGAUAAACAUACUGUUCAUGAGUGGAUAGAAUUGAUGGAGGUUUACUUACAGAAUUGUGAUCGCCCGAAAGCAGAGCAUUCCAUUGAGAUUUUGAACCACCUUUUGGGUAGAGCUAAAAACAUUGUAAAAGUGGGGCUAAAAAGUAAUCACUCACCUGACAUGGUUGUUACCCCUGAAACCAUUUACAAAAUGCUCUUACGCUAUUUCAGUGAGACCCCAGAAUCUUGUCUUCCACUGGCAGACUUCUAUUCUACAAUGCCAUAUGACAAAGAAAGCCCUGUUGACUAUUGGGUCCGUCUCAAUAAUGCGGCCGAAAUCGCUGAUAAUCACCUACAGAAAGAGGGUAGUCGAAUGAAGAACAUUUCACAGGAAAUUGCAAUGAUGUUCAUUAGAAACUGCCCUAAUGUUGAACUUUCUAGUAUGUUCAGGUACAAGCCUAUCACGAAGUGGUCAUCAGCAGAGGUGCAAGAGGCAAUUGACGAGCAUCAAAGGGAGCUGAGAACCAAGAAUCCACAUCCUUACUCUUUCCCUGGCAAUUCGCUUCAGGUAGCAACUGCCGCCGUCAGGCACACAGAGGCCUCUACAGGGGACAACACUGCAGUUAACUCAGCAGCGUGCAUCCCUGGUACCCAUGCCACAAAGCCUGAGAUCGCCACAGCGCCUCCACACACAGCCUUGACUGACACUGGUACAUUAGAGCGAGUGCUCAGCAUGCUGGAAAGAGUGCUCGAACGCACUAAUGCGCAGGCUGCUUCUGAUAGACCGCAAAUACCUUCUUGGUCUCGUCCAUCCAAAUGUCGUGUUUGUGGUGAGAGAACCCAUUCCACACGGUCACACUGCAUGUCUGAGAAAAGAUGUCUAAACUGCUUAGAAGUUGGUCACCUGCGCAGGGAUUGCCCUAAGAAAAGUGCUGAGUAUGGGAGUCGCUCCCAGAUUCAGGGAAACUGACACGCCUGCACUUGGGAGGGGAUAGUGUGGGUGAAGAAGUUCAGACCCUCCAAGAUGAUGCAUCAAACAUAUAUGAGUCUACUUGUAAAACAGUUACUAGUGAUAAUAUGGUCCUGUUUCAGAAUGUGACGCAGCUGGCUCGGGCAGACAGCCUUUUCUACACCGAC